rnacentral:rRNA from 1 species
ACGAACGCUGGCGGCGUGCUUAACACCUGCCAGUCGAACGGAAAGGCCCUGCUUUUGUGGGGUGCUCGCGUGGCGAACGGGUGAGUAACACGUGAGUAACCUGCCCUUGACUUUGGGAUAACUUCAGGAAACUGGGGCUAAUACCGGAAAGGAGCUCCUGCUGCAUGGUGGGGGUUGGAAAGUUUCGGCGGUUGGGGAUGGACUCGCGGCUUAUCAGCUUGUUGGUGGGGUAGUGGCUUACCAAGGCUUUGACGGGUAGCCGGCCUGAGAGGGUGACCGGCCACAUUGGGACUGAGAUACGGCCCAGACUCCUACGGGAGGCAGCAGUGGGGAAUAUUGCACAAUGGGCGGAAGCCUGAUGCAGCAACGCCGCGUGCGGGAUGACGGCCUUCGGGUUGUAAACCGCUUUCGCCUGUGACGAAGCGUGAGUGACGGUAAUGGGUAAAGAAGCACCGGCUAACUACGUG